CUUGCCCCCAGAGGCGUUGCAGACACGGCUGUCGUGCCAUGUUUGCGUCAUUGGGUGGCAAAGAGGAAAGAAAGGCUAUGUCUACGCUCAGUGCUCUGAAAUGAAAAACCGUGGGCACUCAGAAUGAUUUGUAGCCUGACAAAA
ensembl:snoRNA